rnacentral:rRNA from 1 species
AUACGUAGGGUGCGAGCGUUAAUCGGAAUUACGUGGGCGUAAAGCGUGCGCAGGCGGUUUAGUAAGACAGGCGUGAAACUCCCCGGGCUCAACCGUGGGAACUGCGCUUGUGACUGCUAAGCUAGAGUACGGCAGAGGGGGUGGAAUUCCACGUGUAGCAGUGAAAUGCGUAGAGAUGUGGAGGAACACCGAUGGCGAAGGCAGCCCCCUGGGCCGAUACUGACGCUCAUGCACGAAAGCGUGGGUAGC